UACGAAGGGGGCUAGCGUUGUUCGGAAUCAUUGGGCGUAAAGGGCUCGUAGGCGGCCAACUAAGUCAGACGUGAAAUCCCUCGGCUUAACCGGGGAACUGCGUCUGAUACUGGAUGGCUUGAGUUUGGGAGAGGGAUGCGGAAUUCCAGGUGUAGCGGUGAAAUGCGUAGAUAUCUGGAGGAACACCGGUGGCGAAGGCGGCAUCCUGGACCAACACUGACGCUGAGUGAGCGAAAGCCAGGGGAGCAAACGGG
rnacentral:rRNA from 1 species